UGACAAAUUUUGAUUUUUAUGUCUCUCCAGGUAAAAAAAAAAAGGCUCGGUCUGGCAGUGUGUUUAUCGUGGGUGAAGGUAAAAGGAAGACGUUAGGUACACAGAAUACUAAAUUCUACUUGGCAGCCAAAAGCCACGUAACUUUGCCUCAAGCCUUUUAGAGUAUGUUAAACAUUUUAAAAUAGAGUUCUUUCUGUGAAUAACUCACAUAUAUAGUUAGCCAAACCCACGCAACCUUUGCUCUUUUUCCUGCUAUUUCAAUAGAUUGUUAGAGACGAUAUGCAAAUAUCCAGAUGGGUUUUGUGUUUGCUUUUCACACCUAGGGAAAAACUUGCUGCAGCCCCACCAUUGCUGGAGAGAAGACUGGGAUUUGGGCAAUAGCGAGCCAAGUUCUCAGUUGCCCAUGUUGGCUUAGUUCAUCAGUUUUGUGCAAGUGUAAAACUACCUCUUUUCCCUUAGAGCCGUGGCCCUGGGGCAGGCCGCAGAGAAGUUCGCAGCUCUACCUGGCCCUUUUCAGCCGCUGCCUUUUCCUAGACGGUGCCUGGGACCAAUGGACUCCACGAGGAUGAUGGUAGAAGCUCUUUAAUCUCUCCACCACGAGGUCCUCCUAGAUAAUGAGUUAUGAAAAGAAGCUGAGGCAUGCAGAGCUGGAAUCACCUAAGAUUUGAAGCUUUCAGAAGUUAAUCUACUGCUCAAGAUCACCUGUGGAUAGGGACAUGACUACGGUGGAGAGAGAAAGAUGGAACCUUAUCUUGGAGGGACCCAUAGCAUGCUUCCUCCUUCCAGUCUUCAAGCCUCUCUUCUCACUGUGAGGGAAGCCCUGACAUGGGAAGUGCUGUUGUAAUUGCAGAAAUGGUUCUACUGUCAAUCUUUUGAACUGUGAAAUUUAACCUGAUCACAUGGAAAAAAAAAUGCACCUCAAGUAGCUUGUCCCACUGGAGAAAAAUGUUACCAGGGAGGAGACUGGCCUCAGGCCACUGUGUGCCAGUCAAGUGACAAUUCUGUUUCUGCCUUUGUGCCUCAUUUCAAAGUGAAUAAAGGUAGAAACCUUGCUGUGAGUCCUGACCCAGCUCAUCCCACCCAAUUAAAGACACUAAAAUGUCAUUGUCAUUUACCUUAAGUAGCUUCAAAGUAACUCAUUCUUGGGGUGCCUGGGUGCCUCAGUCGGUCCAGCGUCCAACUCUUGAUUUCAGCUCAGGUUGUGAUCCCAGGAUGCUGGGAUCCACACUGA